AGCUACUUUCCUUACUGAGGAGUUGGCAACAAUGUGCUCCACCCCUCUAUGUCUGGAGCGCAAAGACUAAUAGUACGGUAUGCGAUUCCCGACGUUCACAAAGAGCUUUUGUUCGCCAACGACACAUCACUAAAACUAAGUUAACUGAAAACACAACUUUCAGUUGACUGAAAAUGGACUCGCCCUCGCUGAUACAAAUACAAGACAAACUGGAUUUUCUGACUCCCUCCAGCUCUCUCUCACUGUCUCUGAAAAGGAGGUUCCUGAUGAGCAGCAGCACUGUGAGCAGAAGUGGAGCCCCUGUCUGGGGAAGGAGGACCCAGAGCCCACAGAGAUGAAAGAGGAAGAGGAGGAAGUCAAGGCCAGUCAGGAGGAAGAGCAGCUUCAAGGACUCUUUGAUAUCAAAGACUCCAUAUUCACUACUCCCUGUGUGAAAAGUGAAUGUGAUCAGGAGGUACUGUGACCUGUCUGAAGAGUCUAGACUCUUCCUGUGACUAUCCAGAUAAACAAAACAAUACCUCCAGCCACAGCUCAGCUGUAAGCAGCGACCCAGUAGGACUUGACAGCAGCCCACCAUUGGGGAACACCACUCCAAAACCAGCACCACGUCUAGAAAAACGUACGGCUGCCCCGACUGUGGUGAAACGUUUGCUCUGAAAGCUGACCUGCAGGGGCAUGUGACUCUCGCCAAGAAGAGAUCCAGCGUCUGCAAAAAAAAAGCAACAACUCCACCUGUAAAUUGAAGGCCCAUGUCCAAAUCCGUCACAUGGAGAAACUCUGCACCUUCCCCUUUUUUGGCAAGACCUUCAAACAAAGGAAAUAUUUUCAGGCACAUGAUGAUUCACACAGGAGAUAAAUAAUUUAGCUGUGGUGACUGUGGGAAAAGCUUCAUUCAAAAGGGGAACCUAAUGAGACAUAUACUGACUCACACAGGAGAGAAACCAUUUAGCUGUGGUGACUGUGGGAAAAGCUUUAAUCGGAAAGGGCAGCUGAAGUUGCACAUACAGACUCACACAGGAGAGAAACAACAUAGCUGCUUAGUCUGUGGUAAAAGAUUCACUCAUUAGGCUUAUCUAGUGAAACAUGUGGAUAAGGUCCACAAAGGAAGGAAGAAAGAAAACAGGAUGAAAACGGAAAGAAAAUGAAAUAGGACAAAUAUAUUCUAUCAACAGAUGGGAAUAAAAAAAAGCAGGAUGAGGACAACAGCCUUAGCAAACCACCUCUGGACCAUUCAUGCUGUUCUCUUAAGAUAAAUGGAUGUGUGACGGAUUUACUUUUAACAGAAUAUUCUUUGUAAAUAAAGUUUCAUUUUUAUUUGAAGGGCGAGGUAAUGAUCAAACAGUACUAUGCAGUAUUAUGUGAAUCUCACAGGUCUGCUGUUGAAAGUCUGUUGAUGUUUUCACAUGAUUACCAACAGGAAUAUCUGGUUGUUUGUUUUGUAAUGUCUCUCAGGGUGAUGAGAGAAUGGUCUGGCUGAUGUUAUUGAUAGUAUUUUUAUUUUUUUUACACUUUCCAGAAAAUAUCUCCUUCCAUCUGUCUUUUUGUCAUACAUUUUGACCUAAUGCUGCUCAUUCAGGAUAUUGUUUGAGUCUUUAUGGAAGUAAUGAUUUAAAGUCGAUUCCUGAUAAGUGCACUUUGUGUGAGUGAAAACUCUGUUCUAAGUGCACAACAGUGUUUGUCCAGUCCCAUUUCAGUGACACCCCUUGUAAUUGCUCCCGAUAAGCGCAUUCUUUUUAAAUGCAUGUUUUCACAUCAGUCCCAAGCCAUUGCAGUUGUCAAGAGUCGCCUGUGUUAAAAUGCAUUGUCUUUCAAUUCAGUUCAUGCAAAAAAGAUCGCCCUAUUACUAAUUAAAACUGUUUCCCCAAAUGAAGUUAUCUAUUUCUGGAGCUUGAAGUAAAACUCCAUCCACAUGGAGAUGCUGUGUAUCACUGAAGCGUUACUAGCAUGUUAGCAGAUACCCAUAGACUUGCAGUCAUUGCGCUAACACUAGUUAGCGAAACUCUCUCUAAUAACCUCUAACAGAGACAUAAAAAUGGUAUCCACUAGUUCAUCUGACUCUGGGGAAGUAGAUGAAGGCCACAAUCCCGAAGUACACUUUUGAAGGUCGUUUCUGAUUGAGCCCACUUAAGCAGCGUUUACCAUGAAUGGAGUCUGCUAACGCAGGAACAUUGCCUUUAAAGUUCGAUGUGGGUUUAAUUUUUCCUUUUUUUGUACCACCUACCCCUUUCAGAUAUACGAAAAAGCAGGCAAAAAGAAGCAGGCAUGGUAAAUUAGUGGGAUUUUGGUCUGUAUAUAAAAGGGACACACAAUGGGCCUACCAAAUACAUUGUAUUAACAGUAUUUAAGAAUGUAAUAUACAAGAUUACAUCAAUAUCAUAAAUGAGCAACAUUAAGACAAAACAUAAAUAUUAGUGGACAAAUGCAAGGACACAUUUUAUUUAUAUAUAUAUAUUUUUUUAUGUAUCAAUAACAUAAGUCAGACUAUUCUGGAGACAUUCCUAAACAAACUAGCAGGAAUUCCAGUUUAUAAUGAUGUGAAAACAUCAGACCUGUGAGUUGAACUACUCUGUACUGUUAGAUCAAAUCAAACUUUGUGUGAAUCACUGAAGCGUUACUAGCAUGCUGGCAGAUACCCAUAGAACGUUUUACAAAAGUAAAUUCAUGACAUCUAUUUACCUGAAACCCAGAGAAUGAAUGAUCCAGAGUUGCUUUGCUUUUCCAAAGUGUUGUCCAUCUUCUAACAAGAUGUCUUAGUUUCCUCUGUGUUUUCAUUCUGUUUUUUCGAUUUGUUUCAUUCUUUGUGGACAUUCGCUCCUGUGUGAGUCAGUAUGUGCAAAACUCAUAGCAAAGGGUCUGAAUACUAAUGUAAAUACUUUCCGGAGGCAUUAUACGUCAGUGCAUUAUCACUUAUCUACCUACAACAUAUUUGGCUUGACAGUAACAACAAAAAACGUUAAAGCCAUUUUUCUCAGUUUCACUGUUUGCGUAGUUAUUGCACUUUGCCUUUGUACGGCAGCCAAAAGUAUCUAGCCAAAACUCGACUUGACGUUCAGUAUCUUCUCUCUCAAGUUGGAACGCAGUUCGCCCAAAAUGUUAGCGCCGCAGUGACGAACCAGGUAUAUAGCAUGAAAACGUACCUCAAUCCAGGGAUGGUAGGUGUCACUCAGCGGAGGCUGCUCAGUGGAGGAUGGCUCAUAAUAACGGCUGGAACAGAGCAAAUGGAAUGGCAUCAAACACAUGGAAACUAUGGGAUAAUUAUAUAAUUAAGAAGAUUGAAAUACUGCUUAUUUUGAAUUGUCCCCAAUCACUACCCUGGGACUUUGGGAUCUUUUUUUUAGACCAGAUGAAAAUGUGCCUCCUACUGGCCCUCCAACACCACUUCCAGCAGCAUCUAAUCUCCCAUCCAGGGACUGACCAGGACCAACCCCGCUUACCUUCAGAAGCAAGCCAGCAGUGGGAUGCAGGGUGGUAUGCUGAAAUGGCAUGUUACUCUCACCAAGAAGACACUCAGCGAAUGCCACCUCUGCCAAAAACUCUACAACUCCACCUGUAAAUUGAAGGCCCAUGUCAGACUCUGUCACGUGGAGAGACCCUGCACCUGCCCCUUUUGUGGAAAGACCUUUAAACUCAAAGGACAUCUGUCCAGACAUAUGAGGAUUCACACAGGAGAGAAACCAUUUAGCUGUGGUGACUGUGGGAAAAGCUUCAUUCAGAAGGGGGACCUAAUGAGGCACAUACUGACUCACACAGGAGAGAAACCAUUUAGCUGUGGUGGCUGUGGGAAAAGCUUCAAUCGGAAGGGGAACCUAACUGAACAUAUACGGACUUGCACAUACUGACUAACACAGGAAAGAAAGUUUACAAAGAAACUAAUUAAUUAAUUAGGACGAAGGCAUCUUGUCAGAUGGACAACACUCUUUAGAAAAGCAACUCUGGAUCAUUCAUUCUGUGGGUUUCAGAUAAAUAGAUGUCAUGAAUUUACUUUUGCUAAACGUUCUAUGUAAAUAAAGUUUGAUUUGAUCCAACA